CCUACGGGUGGCUGCAGUGGGGAAUAUUGCACAAUGGGCGAAAGCCUGAUGCAGCGACGCCGCGUGAGUGAAGAAGUAAUUCGUUAUGUAAAGCUCUAUCAGCAGGGAAGAAAUGACGGUACCUGAGUAAGAAGCCCCGGCUAACUACGUGCCAGCAGCCGCGGUAAUACGUAGGGGGCAAGCGUUAUCCGGAUUUACUGGGUGUAAAGGGAGCGUAGACGGCAGGUCAAGUCUGGAGUGAAAGGCGGGGGCUCAACCCCCGGACUGCUCUGGAAACUGUACGGCUGGAGUGCAGGAGAGGUAAGUGGAAUUCCUGGUGUAGCGGUGAAAUGCGUAGAUAUCAGGAGGAACACCAGUGGCGAAGGCGGCCUGCUGGGCUUUAACUGACGCUGAGGCUCGAAAGCGUGGGGAGCAAACAGGAUUAGAUACCCUGGUAGUC
rnacentral:rRNA from 1 species